UACAGAGGUCCCAAGCGUUGUUCGGAUUCACUGGGCGUAAAGGGUGCGUAGGCGGUCGGGUAAGUCUGAUGUGAAAUCUCACAGCUUAACUGUGAAACUGCAUUGGAUACUAUCCGACUCGAGGAAUGGAGGGGAGACUGGAAUUCUCGGUGUAGCAGUGAAAUGCGUAGAUAUCGAGAGGAACACCAGUGGCGAAGGCGAGUCUCUGGACAUUUCCUGACGCUGAGGCACGAAAGCCAGGGGAGCAAACAGG
rnacentral:rRNA from 1 species